rnacentral:rRNA from 1 species
AUGGACCCGCGGUGCAUUAGCUAGUUGGUGAGGUAACGGCUCACCAAGGCCACGAUGCAUAGCCGACCUGAGAGGGUGAUCGGCCACAUUGGGACUGAGACACGGCCCAAACUCCUACGGGAGGCAGCAGUAGGGAAUCUUCGGCAAUGGACGAAAGUCUGACCGAGCAACGCCGCGUGAGUGAAGAAGGUUUUCGGAUCGUAAAACUCUGUUGUUAGAGAAGAACAAGGAUGAGAGUAACUGUUCAUCCCUUGACGGUAUCUAACCAGAAAGCCACGGCUAACUACGUGCCAGCAGCCGCGGUAAUACGUAGGUGGCAAGCGUUGUCCGGAUUUAUUGGGCGUAAAGCGAGCGCAGGCGGUUUCUUAAGUCUGAUGUGAAAGCCCCCGGCUCAACCGGGGAGGGUCAUUGGAAACUGGGAGACUUGAGUGCAGAAGAGGAGAGUGGAAUUCCAUGUGUAGCGGUGAAAUGCGUAGAUAUAUGGAGGAACACCAGUGGCGAAGGCGGCUCUCUGGUCUGUAACUGACGCUGAGGCUCGAAAGCGUGGGGAGCAAACAGGAUUAGAUACCCUGGUAGUCCACGCCGUAAACGAUGAGUGCUAAGUGUUGGAGGGUUUCCGCCCUUCAGUGCUGCAGCUAACGCAUUAAGCACUCCGCCUGGGGAGUACGACCGCAAGGUUGAAACUCAAAGGAAUUGACGGGGGCCCGCACAAGCGGUGGAGCAUGUGGUUUAAUUCGAAGCAACGCGAAGAACCUUACCAGGUCUUGACAUCCUUUGACCACUCUAGAGAUAGAGCUUCCCCUUCGGGGGCAAAGUGACAGGUGGUGCAUGGUUGUCGUCAGCUCGUGUCGUGAGAUGUUGGGUUAAGUCCCGCAACGAGCGCAACCCUUAUUGUUAGUUGCCAUCAUUCAGUUGGGCACUCUAGCAAGACUGCCGGUGACAAACCGGAGGAAGGUGGGGAUGACGUCAAAUCAUCAUGCCCCUUAUGACCUGGGCUACACACGUGCUACAAUGGGAAGUACAACGAGUUGCGAAGUCGCGAGGCUAAGCUAAUCUCUUAAAGCUUCUCUCAGUUCGGAUUGCAGGCUGCAACUCGCCUGCAUGAAGCCGGAAUCGCUAGUAAUCGCGGAUCAGCACGCCGCGGUGAAUACGUUCCCGGGCCUUGUACACACCGCCCGUCACACCACGAGAGUUUGUAACACCCGAAGUCGGUGAGGUAACCUUUUGGAGCCAGCCGCCUAAGGUGGGAUAGAUGAUUGGGGUGAAGUCGUAACAAGGUAGCCGUAUCGGAAGGUGCGGCUGGAUCACCUCCUUUCUAAGGAA